rnacentral:lncRNA from 1 species
CCUGGUGCUUGUAAGCAAUGGGUUCUAUUUUUGCGCGCUAGCCACAUGAAGAGGAGUUAACCAUGUAUAGAUUAGAAGAAGAUAAUUGUCUACAUAAUAUGUCAUUAGCUAAGGAAGGAAGAUAUCAAAUUGAGAAUAUCCAUCUGUUGGUAAUAUUCAUACAAAGGUUGUCCUAUAAUAGUCUUUCUGAAAGCAUUAAUCCAAGAGAGA